rnacentral:rRNA from 1 species
GACGAACGCUGGCGGCGUGCUUAACACAUGCAAGUCGAACGGAAAGGCCCUGCUUUUGUGGGGUGCUCGAGUGGCGAACGGGUGAGUAACACGUGAGUAACCUGCCCUUGACUUUGGGAUAACUUCAGGAAACUGGGGCUAAUCCCGGAUAGGAGCUCCUGCUGCAUGGUGGGGGUUGGAAAGUUUCGGCGGUUGGGGAUGGACUCGCGGCUUAUCAGCUUGUUGGUUGGGUAGUGGCUUACCAAGCCUUUGACGGGUAGCCGGCCUGAGAGGGUGACCGGCCACAUUGGGACUGAGAUACGGCCCAGAGUGCUACGGGAGGCAGCGGUGGGGAAUAUUACACAAUGGGCGGAAGCGUGAUGCAGCAACGCCGCGUGCGGGAAGACGGCUUGCGGGUUGUAAACCGCUUUCGCCUGUGACGAAGCGUGAGUGACGGUAAUGGGUGAAGAAGCACCGGCUAACUACGUG